GAUGAACGCUGGCGGCGUGCCUAAUACAUGCAAGUCGAGCGAACAGACGAGGAGCUUGCUCCUCUGACGUUAGCGGCGGACGGGUGAGUAACACGUGGAUAACCUACCUAUAAGACUGGGAUAACUUCGGGAAACCGGAGCUAAUACCGGAUGAUAUAUUGAACCGCAUGGUUCAAUAGCGAAAGACGGUCUUGCUGUCACUUAUAGAUGGAUCCGCGCCGCAUUAGCUAGUUGGUAAGGUAACGGCUUACCAAGGCAACGAUGCGUAGCCGACCUGAGAGGGUGAUCGGCCACACUGGAACUGAGACACGGUCCAGACUCCUACGGGAGGCAGCAGUAGGGAAUCUUCCGCAAUGGGCGAAAGCCUGACGGAGCAACGCCGCGUGAGUGAUGAAGGUCUUCGGAUCGUAAAACUCUGUUAUUAGGGAAGAACAAAUGUGUAAGUAACUAUGCACGUCUUGACGGUACCUAAUCAGAAAGCCACGGCUAACUACGUG
rnacentral:rRNA from 1 species